rnacentral:tRNA from 1 species
GCCUGGGUGGCUCAGUCGGUUGAGCGUCUGACUUCAGCUCAGGUCACUAUCUCGCAGUUCAUGGGCUCGAGCCCUGCGUCAGGCU